CCAGCAGCCGCGGUAAUUCCAGCUCCAAUAGCGUAUAUUAAAGUUGUUGCAGUUAAAAAGCUCGUAGUUGGAUUUCUGGCGUGGAGUGCUUGACCCGCCGCGGUUACGCGUGUGAGUGUCGGUGUGCUCCGGCCAUCCUUCUAGAAAUUGGCUCUGCUCUUCACUGAGUUGGGGUCAGGAUCUAGAUCUUUUACUUUGAAAAAAUUAGAGUGUUUAAAGCAAGCGUUGCGUGAAUACAUUAGCAUGGAAUAAUAACUUAGGACUUUGGUUCUAUUUUGUUGGUUUCUAGGACCGAAGUAAUGAUUGAUAGGGAUAGUUGGGGGUGCUAGUAUUCAGCGGCCAGA
rnacentral:rRNA from 1 species